GGCCCGAAGCGAUCUGAGGACGUGAAAAGCAGAGGGGAAGCGCAUCCACCAACGUGACAGAGCCGGGCCGGGCUGGGAGGGGAGAAGAUGAUCAGGCCUCCCCGGAGUGGAUGUCGUCCCCUGUAAUGGAGGGCAUCAAUGCUGCCCGGGGAGAAUUUUGAACUCACACGUGAGGAUUCAUAGUUGCAGGAAGAUAUUGGAACACAUAACCAUGGAGAACCUGGCUGCAGUUUUAAAAUCUAAGCAUUAAUCCAUGAGUAAUAAGGGCGAAAUUGCUUUGAAGAUGCAAUGUCUUGCAGAAUAUAAGAAUAAAAAUUUCUCUUAAAAACAGAGUACAUGAAAUAUUGUUUUCCUAAUGAAUAAAAUUAUAACUUCAUUCAUUUUUUUGUUUAAUCCAAUGCAGAAUAAACUUAACAUUUUCAGAUUACAUAUGUAGAACAGGCCAAUUCAAAGGGUCGAGGGUUGAGGUGGGAGUGUGAACUGAAGAUAGGACGUGCACAAGCAAUAGUCUUAUCGAAUUUUAAUCUCUACUUCAAUGUGAUAUACAUUCUAUACCCGAAGCACAGCCAUAUUAUCAAAUAGCCUAUUUUGCAAUAAUAGACCAUACCAAUGAUUUCAUCCACUUAAAAAAAAAAACCCAUUUAAAUUAAACUUUAAAAGCAAGGUAUCUGGGAAACAAAGUGACAAAACCGUGCCAAUUGCUCCCAAUUCUUCACAAACAUUUACAUGACAAAGUCAAAUGCAGAUAUACAUCAUGCCUCUUGCAAAAGACAUGGUGACUACCAAAUUUAUUUUACAAAAAGUACAGAUUUGUAAUUUUAUUCACCAAACAUGGUCUGACAUGAUCUGCAAUCAUCUUGGCCAGAAAACCACCCCUCUGAACAUUCAUAACACUGCUCCCUCUGCUGUAUGGAUAUACAAUUGCAUAACAUGGUCAAACCUGUACUUUUACAUUCAUUUCCUCAAUGUUCCUUAGGGAUGUUGGAACUUUUGGAAGACCUGGAUAAAUGAUCAGUAUCCAAAUAGAGACACAAGGAACUACACAUGGUGAAAUCUUGAGUAAUACAAAGUACAGGAGGGACUUAGCAGGUCAGCCAGCAUCUAUGCAGGGAAUGGACAGAUGGCAUUUCAGGUCGGCAACCUUCUUCCGACUGAUGAUAUCAGCCUGAUGAAGGGUCCAGUCCCGAAACAUUCCCUCCACAGAUGCUGCCUAACCCACUGAGUUUCCCCAGCACUUUAUAGUAUUCAAAUAGAAACUGACAUAUGGUACUGGACAUUUCUGGGUUGUUUAGAUCAGGCAUUUCCUGACAAGGAGCCACACAUACACAUUUCCAGUACCUUACAAAUGUGAUCCUCAUUCAUCAUUGUCAUUCUGUGCAGCUGGUCAAAAUGUUGAUGUUUUUCCAAAGUUCAUCUGGCAAUGACCAUUCAGAAACCAAAAAAUAGUUUUUGAAAGAAAAUCAGGGGGAAAAAAAACAGGAAAUACUUAAGUUGCCAAGAUAAAUCAAUGUUUUAAGUCAUCAAACUUCUGAGUUGCAGAGAAGGGUUAGAGGCAGCGAGAACAAAAUGGAAAGGUCGUGAUUGGAUGAAGAUUAUGGCUGAAAAAGAAUGGUGAAGGUUGGUGAACAAAAAGGUUUAUCUGGGGACUGAUGAAGCCAAAACCACCAAUACUUAUGUUAUUUGGUGUUACUUGGGCACCCAUUCUUGUUGGGGUUUUUUUGUCCAGAAAGUAGAUGAAAUCGUCAAGUUCCAAGGUGUGAAUAUCACCAACAAUUUGACCUUGUCCAUCCACAAUGACGUUACAGCCAAGAUAGCACACCAGCACCUAC